GUCGAACGCUGGCGGCGUGCUUAACACAUGCAAGUCGAACGGAAGAACCCUGCUUUUGUGGGGUGCUCGAGUGGCGAACGGGUGUGUAACACGUGAAUAACCUGGCCUGGACUUUGGGAUAACUGCAGGAGACUGGGAAUAAUACAGGAUAGGAGAUCGUGCUGCAUGGUGGGGGUUGGACAGUUUGGGAGGAAGGGGAUGGACUGUGGGCUUAUUAGCUUGUUGGUGGGGGAGUCGCUUACCAAGUCAUUGACGGGUAGGCGGCAUGAGAGGUGGGACAGCCUCAAUGGUACUGAGAUACGGCCCAGACUGCUAUGUUAGGCAGUAGGGGAGAAUAUUGUACAGUGGGCGGAAGCGUGAUGCAGCAGUGUUGCGAUUGGGAUGACGGUCUUCGUGUUGGAAACCGCAGUCGGCUGUUACCAAGCGUUUUUGACGUUAAUAGGUAAAGAAGCACCGGCUAACUACGUG
rnacentral:rRNA from 1 species